CGGUCUGGUGGCGAGUGGCGAACGGGUGAGUAAUACAUCGGAACGUGCCUAGUAGUGGGGGAUAACUACUCGAAAGAGUAGCUAAUACCGCAUGAUAUCUGCGGAUGAAAGCAGGGGACCUUCGGGCCUUGUGCUACUAGAGCGGCUGAUGGCAGAUUAGGUAGUUGGUGGGGUAAAGGCUUACCAAGCCCGUGAUCUGUAGCUGGUCUGAGAGGACGACCAGCCACACUGGGACUGAGACACGGCCCAGACUCCUACGGGAGGCAGCAGUGGGGAAUUUUGGACAAUGGGCGAAAGCCUGAUCCAGCAAUGCCGCGUGCAGGAUGAAGGCCCUCGGGUUGUAAACUGCUUUUGUACGGAACGAAAAGCCUGAGGCUAAUAUCCUCGGGUCAUGACGGUACCGUAAGAAUAAGCACCGGCUAACUACGUGCCAGCAGCCGCGGUAAUACGUAGGGUGCAAGCGUUAAUCGGAAUUACUGGGCGUAAAGCGUGCGCAGGCGGUUUUGUAAGACAGUGGUGAAAUCCCCGGGCUCAACCUGGGAACUGCCAUUGUGACUGCAAGGCUGGAGUGCGGCAGAGGGGGAUGGNAAUUCCGCGUGUAGCAGUGAAAUGCGUAGAUAUGCGGAGGAACACCGAUGGCGAAGGCAAUCCCCUGGGCCUGCACUGACGCUCAUGCACGAA
rnacentral:rRNA from 1 species